UUUUUUUUUUAAAUAUUAUCUUGCCCUAAUAACUUGUAAGAGUUUCAAUAUGCAUAUCCAUUGUUAAGAUUUACACACCCAGUCACCAUCAGUUAGGACAAUCCUCCUAUUUGGGACAUAUAUUCUCAGGCUGGAAUAGGAGCUAGAAGUGGUAAACCUCUAAUCACUGUUUAUCAAAAAACUAUUUUCAAUUCCUCUUAGUCUUGGCGAUUGAGGAACCUUAUUAUUACUUUGAGUAUUUCUCGUGAUCGUUCAACUACACUUAUGUUUUAACGGGGAAUUGGCAAAAUAUUUUUAAGCUUUGUCAACUCCGGGGGACUUUAUGACCUCUGAGAUCAUGCCUGUGUCCAAGUCGUUUAACACACCAAUAGAGCCGUCCUAUGGAGAAUUUAAAACGUGUAUCCUUAAAAUCCACUCAGUUCUGAUAGUCUGAUAUAGGUUUUGAGAAUUUUGACAUAGUUUACAUUUUACUUAUUCACUUUAAGCAAAGAAAACUUUUUGAACACUGAUUAGUGUUUUAGAGUGGAUUUUUAUUUCAGAUAACCAGUUGCUUACACUAUUUUAAUAUAUUUAAAUUUUUUUUUUAAAAAGUAUAGUUUUAACAAUAUUACCUGUCUUGCUUGUUUGGGCAUUCAUUCGUUUUUAUAGAUUUUAUUUAUUCAAGACUGCUUUAUCUCAUUUUCUCUCUGCCUCCCUUUACCCUUAUUAACUGUAUUCACAUUAUGCAGAUAGUGACUGCUUGCAUUGGUCACGUCAUUGAUGCGUUAUCAUGAUCUAUUUUUGUAUGCGUGUGUUUGUGUUAAAAUAUAUACACACCCACACACACCUGAAUUGCUUGUUUUUUUUGUUUUACUGCUAUUUUUAUGCAAAAGCACACCUGAAUAUAUGCAUUAAACUGCAGAGAUCUUGUGCGUAUAAAGCUAUUGUUAAACACAAUAGAAAUCCAAUUAUUUCCUUCGCAAUUGGAGGUAAUGGUGGAAAAUUCUUCCACUAAAACAUCAUGCCUUCCAGAACAUUUUAACUUAGUGGCGUUUGCUUGCAUGCUUGCCUUGCAAUGCUCCUCUGUUAUUCUAUGUGUUUUUCAAGGGUCAGUGCAUUGCAUUAUCUUGAGGGAAAAGCCAUCAGCUGGAAGUGUGAUGACGAAAAAUCCAAUUCUUUGAUGUAAUAGAAAAGGAGAAGUUAGAAAAUGUUUAUAUAUCCAAAUGCAUGUUUUACUCUUAAUGCCCUUUAAUUUGUACCCUGUGGUCAAGUAAUUUUAGGCAGAUGGAGUGUCCCUUAGCUCUUACAUUUAAGAAGCAAAUACUAUCUGCUAUUGAUUGAUAUGCUAAACAUGAAACUAUGCCUGGGCAAAUUCAACAAUCUUAAUAAAACGGUGCUUAUUAGAUAAUCAAUAUUUGUUUUUUUAUUUUCUGAUUUCAAAAGAAUGUUUCAACAUAACAUAUUUUUUAUUCAAUUUGGACAAUACGGUUUAAACUCUAAAACACCUAAAAUAAAUAAAUAAAU